rnacentral:rRNA from 1 species
GACAAACGCUGGCGGCGUGCUUAACACAUGCAAGUCGAACGGAAAGGCCCUGCUUUUGUGGGGUGCUCGAGUGGCGAACGGGUGAGUAACACGUGAGUAACCUGCCCUUGACUUUGGGAUAACUUCAGGAAACUGGGGCUAAUACCGGAUAGGAGCUCCUGCUGCAUGGUGGGGGUUGGAAAGUUUCGGCGGUUGGGGAUGGACUCGCGGCUUAUCAGCUUGUUGGUGGGGUAGUGGCUUACCAAGGCUUUGACGGGUAGCCGGCCUGAGAGGGUGACCGGCCACAUUGGGACUGAGAGACGGCCCAGACUCCUACGGGAGGCAGCAGUGGGGAAUAUUGCACAAUGGGCGGAAGCCUGAUGCAGCAACGCCGCGUGCGGGAUGACGGCCUUCGGGUUGUAAACCGCUUUCGCCUGUGACGAAGCGUGAGUGACGGUAAUGGGUAAAGAAGCACCGGCUAACUACGUG